GACGAACGCUGGCGGCGUGCUUAACACAUACAAGUCGAGCGGAAAGGCCACUUCGGUGGUACUCGAGCGGCGAACGGGUGAGUAACACGUGAGUAAUCUGCCCCUGGCUUCGGGAUAGCCACCGGAAACGGUGAUUAAUACCGGAUAUGACAUGGACUCGCAUGGGUUUGUGUGGAAAGUUUUUCGGCCAGGGAUGUGCUCGCGGCCUAUCAGCUUGAUGGUGAGGUAAUGGCUCACCAUGGCUUCGACGGGUAGCCGGCCUGAGAGGGUGACCGGCCACACUGGGACUGAGACACGGCCCAGACUCCUACGGGAGGCAGCAGUGGGGAAUAUUGGACAAUGGGCGGAAGCCUGAUCCAGCAACGCCGCGUGAGGGAUGACGGCCUUCGGGUUGUAAACCUCUUUCAGUACCGACGAAGCGCAAGUGACGGUAGGUACAGAAGAAGCACCGGCCAACUACGUGCCAGCAGCCGCGGUAAUACGUAGGGUGCGAGCGUUGUCCGGAAUUAUUGGGCGUAAAGGGCUCGUAGGCGGUUUGUCGCGUCGGGAGUGAAAACGCCGUGCUUAACACGGCGCUUGCUUCCGAUACGGGCAGACUAGAGGUAUUCAGGGGAGAACGGAAUUCCUGGUGUAGCGGUGAAAUGCGCAGAUAUCAGGAGGACACCGGUGGCGAAGGCG
rnacentral:rRNA from 1 species